rnacentral:rRNA from 1 species
GAUGAACGCUAGCGGCAGGCCUAAUACAUGCAAGUCGAACGGGAUCCGGUGCGUAGCUUGCUACAAUCCGGUGAGAGUGGCGAAUGGGUGCGUAACGCGUGAGCAACCUACCCUUAUCUGGGGGAUAGCCCGGCGAAAGUCGGAUUAACACCGCAUAACAUCACUGAGUGGCAUCAUUUAGUGAUCAAAUAUUUAUAGGAUAAGGAUGGGCUCGCGUGACAUUAGCUAGUUGGUAAGGUAACGGCUUACCAAGGCUUCGAUGUCUAGGGGCUCUGAGAGGAGAAUCCCCCACACCGGUACUGAGACACGGACCAG